GUGGUGCAAUAGGUCAGUGUGUCUGGCUACUAACCAGAAAGUUGGUGCUUCGAGUCCACCCACG